rnacentral:rRNA from 1 species
GAACGCGAAGAACCUUACCAAGGCUUGACAUAUACUGGACCGCAUCAGAGAUGGUGUUUCCCUUCGGGGCUGGUAUACAGGUGGUGCAUGGUUGUCGUCAGCUCGUGUCGUGAGAUGUUGGGUUAAGUCCCGCAACGAGCGCAACCCUCGUUCUAUGUUGCCAGCACGUAAUGGUGGGGACUCAUAGGAGACUGCCGGGGUCAACUCGGAGGAAGGUGGGGAUGACGUCAAAUCAUCAUGCCCCUUAUGUCUUGGGCUUCACGCAUGCUACAAUGGCCGGUACAGAGGGUUGCGAUACUGUGAGGUGGAGCUAAUCCCUAAAAGCCGGUCUCAGUUCGGAUUGGGGUCUGCAACUCGACCCCAUGAAGUCGGAGUCGCUAGUAAUCGCAGAUCAGCAACGCUGCGGUGAAUACGUUCCCGGGUCUUGUACACACC